rnacentral:rRNA from 1 species
GGACUACGGGGGUAUCUAAUCCGGCUCGCUCCCCUAGGUUUCGUCCCUCACCGUCAGACCCGUUCCAGUUGGACGCCUUCGCCACAGGUGGUCCCCCCAGGAUUACAGGAUUUCACCCCUACCCUGGGAGUACCUCCAACCUCUCCCGGUCUCAAGACAAGCAGUAUCUCUAGAUUUCCCACGGUUAAGUCGCAGGAUUUAACCAAAGACUUACUUAUCCGGCUACGAACGUUUUAGGCCCAAUAAUCGCGGCUACCACUUGAGCUGCCGGUAUUACCGCGGCGGCUGGCACCGGUCUUGCCCAGCCCUUACUCCUCUGGUUACUUAGACCAAAGAACAGCCCAUGCAAUGCAUGAGCACUUGGGAUCCCCCUGUCACGGUUUCCCGCAUUGCAGAGGUUUCGCGCCUGCUGCCCCCCAUAGG